CCUGACUGUCCCUUCGACCCCACACGCAUUUAUGUGAGUACCUAGGCCUGGAGUAGUGGCACCAGGCCCUCGCACGGGUGGGAAGGGCUCUUGGAAUCCACCCUCCACCCCCAACUCCAGCCAGCCAUCUCUGCCCCAUGCCCCGCAGAGCUCCAGCCUGUGCCUCUGGGGCAUCGCCCUAGUGCUCUGCGUGGCGGAGAAUGUGUUUGCUGUACGCUGUGCUCAGCUCACCCACCAGCUGCUGGAGCUGAGGCCCUGGUGGGGGAAAAGCAGCCACCACAUGAUGCGGGAGAACCCAGAGCUGGUGGAGGGCCGUGACCUGCUGAGCUGCACCAGCUCUGAGCCUCUGACCCUCUGAGAGAUGAUGUCCUGCCCAGGCCCGAUGGCCACUAGGACCCUGCAAGCAACUCUGCUCUGUGACCAGGCCAGGAUUCCUGGAGCUGGCCUGAGAGGGCUCAAUGGACCCUCGGGGACCCAAGUGGGGCUUUCAACCCUCUCCCCCACCACCCAGCCCACUGCACUGAAAUGAGACUUUAUUCUGAAAUUAUUAAAAAGAACAGAGAUGCUCC
rnacentral:sRNA from 1 species